rnacentral:rRNA from 1 species
CUUUGUAUUUAGUAUAUUAAGGAAAAAUUUUUGGUUGUAAUAGUAUAAUAUUACUGUUAAGGAAUGAUGAAAUAUUUAAAUUAUUUUUGUUAAGUAUAUUUUAUUUGUAGUACCUUUUGUAUCAGGGUUAAUUAAAUAAAUGAAUAUUUAUUAUAUUUAUCUCGAUUUUAGAAGAUCUAGUUUAUUAUUUUAUUUAAUGUUUCAUAAUUAUUAAUAAUAAAAACUAGAGGAGAAAUUCUAUUCGUUUCUAAAGGUAUCUAGUUUUUUAAGAAAUAAAUUUAAUUUAAUCCUAUUAUUUAAUUAUUAUAAUUAUUUAUAUAUUAUUUGAUAGGUUAAAAGUUAUAGGGGAUAAGCUCUAUAUCUAUUCUAUAAAUUMGUUAUAUAAUAAAUUUUUGUAGGUUUAAGAAUAACCAUCAUUAAAGAGUAUGUUAUAAUUUAUAUUUAUUUUUAUUCRAUUUUCUCAUUUUUAGUAUAAUAUUAAAAUAUCAAAAUUAACUUUUUAUUUUGAGGAAUAAUGAUUGAAUUAGUAUAAAAUAAUGUUUAUUUAAAAUUGAAUUAUAUGAUAAAAUAAGGACCUCGGCAAUUAUAAUUCUCGCCUGUUUAACAAAAACAUGUCCUUUUGUGAUUUAUUGAAGGUCUGACCUGCCCAGUGAUAAUUUUAACGGCCGCGGUAUAUUGACCGUGCAAAGGUAGCAUAAUCAUUAGUCUUUUAAUAGAGGGCUGGAAUGAAGGGUUUGACGAGGAAUUUACUGUCUCAUUUUAUUUGUUUUAAAAUUUAAUUUUUUAGUCAAAAAGCUAAAAUAUUAUUGGAAGACGAGAAGACCCUAUAGAGCUUUAUAUUAUGAUAUUAAAUAUUUUUAUAUUAAUGUAUUUAAGAUUUUGUUUUAUUGUGUUGGGGUGACAAAAAUAUAUAUAUAACUUUUUUAUUUAUUAACCAUUGAUUUAUGAUUAUUAGAUCCAUUAUUAUUGAUUACUAGAUUAAGUUACCUUAGGGAUAACAGCGUAAUUUCCCUCCAGAGUUCAUAUUUACAGGAUGAGUUUGCGACCUCGAUGUUGGAUUAAGAUAAUAAUUAGGUGUAGCCGCUUAAUUUAUGGGUCUGUUCGACCUUUAAAUUCUUACAU